rnacentral:tRNA from 4 species
GGGUGCGUAGCUCAAUUGGAUAGAGUGCUAGAUUACGGCUCUAGAGGUUGGGGGUUCGACUCCUCCCGCGCUCA